ACUCCUACGGGAGGCAGCAGUAGGGAACCUUCCACAAUGGGCGCAAGCCUGAUGGAGCAACACCGCGUGAGUGAAGAAGGGUUUCGGCUCGUAAAGCUCUGUUGUUAAAGAAGAACACGUAUGAGAGUAACUGUUCAUACGUUGACGGUAUUUAACCAGAAAGUCACGGCUAACUACGUGCCAGCAGCCGCGGUAAUACGUAGGUGGCAAGCGUUAUCCGGAUUUAUUGGGCGUAAAGAGAGUGCAGGCGGUUUCUAAGUCUGAUGUGAAAGCCUUCGGCUUAACCGGAGAAGUGCAUCGGAAACUGGAUAACUUGAGUGCAGAAGAGGUAGUGGAACUCCAUGUGUAGCGGUGGAAUGCGUAGAUAUAUGGAAGAACACCAGUGGCGAAGGCGGCUACCUGGUCUGCAACUGACGCUGAGACUCGAAAGCAUGGGUAGCGAACAGGAUUAGAUACCCCUGGUAGGAUAGCG
rnacentral:rRNA from 1 species